rnacentral:rRNA from 1 species
UGAGGAACAUGACCUUCGGCGGGGGAUAGCCGGCCCAACGGCCGGGUAAUACCGCGUACGACCACAUGGGGACAUCCCUGAGUGGUGAAAGCAGCAAUGCGCCGAUGGAGUGCCUCGCGGCCUAUCAGCUUGUUGGUGAGGUAACGGCUCACCAAGGCGUCGACAGGUAGCUGGUCUGAGAGGAUGGCCAGCCACAUUGGGACUGAGACACGGCCCAGAUCCCGUAACGGGG